CCUACGGGAGGCAGCAGUGGGGAAUAUUGCACAAUGGGGGAAACCCUGAUGCAGCGACGCCGCGUGAGUGAAGAAGUACUUCGGUAUGUAAAGCUCUAUCAGCAGGGAAGAAAAUGACCUUACCUGACUAUGAAGCCCCUACUAAUUACGUGCCAGCAGCCGCGGUAAUACGUAGGGGGCGAGCGUUAUCCGGAUUGACGGGGUGUAAAGGGAGCGUAGACUGCCAGACAAGUCAGAGGUGAAAGCCCAGGGCUCAACCCUGGGACUGCUUUUGAAACUGGCGAGCUGGAGUGCAGGAGAGGUAAGCGGAAGUCCUGGUGUAGCGGUGAAAUGCGUAGAUAUUAGGAGGAACACCAGUGGCGAAGGCGGCUUACUGG
rnacentral:rRNA from 1 species